UUCUAAAGUGCUAAGCACCCUGCCCAGGUUAUUAAACUUUAGGAAAAUAAGAAAUGAGCUGGAAGAGAUAAUUGGAUAAAAGGCAUUUCUCUAUUCAUUUUUCUCCCAGAUUACAAAA
rnacentral:snoRNA from 1 species